GAUGAACGCUGGCGGCGUGCCUAAUACAUGCAAGUCGAGCGAACAGAUGAGGAGCUUGCUCCUCUGACGUUAGCGGCGGACGGGUGAGUAACACGUGGAUAACCUACCUAUAAGACUGGGAUAACUUCGGGAAACCGGAGCUAAUACCGGAUAAUAUAUUGAACCGCAUGGUUCAAUAGUGAAAGACGGUUUUGCUGUCACUUAUAGAUGGAUCCGCGCCGCAUUAGCUAGUUGGUAAGGUAACGGCUUACCAAAGCAACGAUGCGUAGCCGACCUGAGAGGGUGAUCGGCCACACUGGAACUGAGACACGGUCCAGACUCCUACGGGAGGCAGCAGUAGGGAAUCUUCCGCAAUGGGCGAAAGCCUGACGGAGCAACGCCGCGUGAGUGAUGAAGGUCUUCGGAUCGUAAAACUCUGUUAUUAGGGAAGAACAAAUGUGUAAGUAACUAUGCACGUCUUGGCGGUACCUAAUCAGAAAGCCACGGCUAACUACGUG
rnacentral:rRNA from 1 species